rnacentral:rRNA from 1 species
GACGAACGCUGGCGGCGUGCCUAAUACAUGCAAGUCGAGCGAAGUUUUUCUGGUGCUUGCACCGGAAAAACUUAGCGGCGAACGGGUGAGUAACACGUAAAGAACCUGCCUCAUAGACUGGGACAACUAUUGGAAACGAUAGCUAAUACCGGAUAACAGCAUUAACUGCAUGGUUGAUGUUUAAAAGUUGGUUUUGCUAACACUAUGAGAUGGCUUUGCGGUGCAUUAGCUAGUUGGUGGGGUAAAGGCCUACCAAGGCGACGAUGCAUAGCCGACCUGAGAGGGUGAUCGGCCACACUGGGACUGAGACACGGCCCAGACUCCUACGGGAGGCAGCAGUAGGGAAUCUUCCGCAAUGGGCGAAAGCCUGACGGAGCAACGCCGCGUGAGUGAAGAAGGAUUUCGGUUCGUAAAGCUCUGUUGUUAGGGAAGAAUGAUUGUGUAGUAACGAUACACAGUAGAGACGGUACCUAACCAGAAAGCCACGGCUAACUACGUG